rnacentral:tRNA from 1 species
CAGGGUGCCUGGGCGGUCGACCUGUGCCGGGAGCUCGGGAUUCCCGAAGGGGUCCUCCCGCCCCUUCGGGACCCGGGCUCUCUCCUCGGCACCCUGC